rnacentral:rRNA from 1 species
AGCGAACGCUGGCGGCAGGCCUAACACAUGCAAGUCGAACGAAGUCUUCGGACUUAGUGGCGGACGGGUGAGUAACACGUGGGAACGUGCCUUUAGGUUCGGAAUAACUCAGGGAAACUUGUGCUAAUACCGAAUGUGCCCUUCGGGGGAAAGAUUUAUCGCCUUUAGAGCGGCCCGCGUCUGAUUAGCUAGUUGGUGAGGUAAAGGCUCUCCAAGGCUACGAUCAGUAGCUGGUCUGAGAGGAUGACCAGCCACAUUGGGACUGAGACACGGCCCAAAGUCCUACGGGAGGCAGCAGUGGGGAAUCUUGCGCAAUGGGCGAAAGCCUGACGCAGCCAUGCCGCGUGGAUGAUGAAGGUCUUAGGAUUGUAAAAGCCUUUCGCCGGUGAAGAUAAUGACUGUAGCCGGAGAAGAAGCCCCGGCUAACUUCGUGCCAGCCGCCGCGGUAACAC